rnacentral:misc_RNA from 1 species
UGGAAUCUUUUCCCCGCACGACACACAGCUCCGCUCCGUUUUUUUCCCUCUGUUCGGCUUCACCAGCACCAGCACGUGCAGAGUUUCUUCCUGGGUCGUCACGUAGCGUGGCGUCCUUGUUUAAAGUUAAGUGUGUGUCUUCAUUUGUGUGUGUGUGUCCUGAAUUGUUGGAGCCCACGACGGGAUCUCCUUUCUGGAUCCCACUUUGAUUUGUGUCGAGACGCCCGCGUGGUGUGGCAGCCAUCGUGAGCGUCUCUCGUCCCGAUUACGAAGAAUACAUUGCAACACCCUAUCUACCAGUGGUGAAAAGGUUUUUCGAUAUUUUGGCUAUAAUGGGUUGGCUCUAUGUGGCUAUUAUGUUUCCGGUCACCGUCUUAUUGGUGAUUUAUUGGCACAAAUGUUUAAAAGACGCUGCAAAUGCCGUUAUGGAAAGCAAAAGAAGAAGAAAAGAGAGAGAAGAGUUACGUCAGUUUCGUCAAACAUGAUCAAACCUGAAAAUGAAAACCUAAAAAAAAAAAAAAUAUUUUGAAGUGAACAAAAAAAAGGAACCAGUAAAGUGUAUUAGUUCAUCUGACGAAGAUUCGGAUUUCGAAGAAGUUCCAUCAGCUCUACCAUACCCUGGGAAUAGAGUCAUCCUUGAUAUUCCGAUCAAUCCUGCAAUAGCUGAAGAAGACGACAUGUUUGCUGAUAUAUUUACCUCUACCGUUCCCUUGAAAACUGAAAAACCAACACAUCAAUCGGAUGAUCUCAGCUCAGUUGAAACGGAUUCGUCAAUGGAAGAACCUGAUGUUUUCGUUCUACCUGUGGAUAACACUACGUCAUGCAAAUCAACAGAGUCCAUUAUAGCCACUAGCAAAAAAACAGUAUUGAGCUCAACCACUACAACUCUUGAAAAAGAAAAUAUGCUGAUAUUAUCGGAAAAAACACAAGUAAUUCAUGGAGCGGAUUUACAACUAAGCGACGAAAACUCUUUUGUUGUCUGUAAAACUGUUGUUGAGCAGCCGCACAGUUUGUCGGAAGUAAUUGAUGUUCUGGUGCCAAAACCUUUAUUAGAAAAUUCAGCGUUCUCGUCAGCGUUCAUCAAGGAACAUGUGUCGUCUCCUCCUAUCCCUAUAGCAAGAAUUUCCACUGAACCACCACCAAUUGUCCAAUGUGACAACUUAUCCCAGUCUUCCUCAGUUAUUACCAUUGAAGAAACUUCGAAAAUGAUAGAUACCCACAAACAAAACGAUGUUGAAGGUAGCUUUGAAGUUCGUAAUGUUGAAGUAACAGGAGAAAAUUCUAGAUCUCAAGUGGCUUUUGAAAUUUCGCCUAAAACUACGAAGUUAAGUGAGCCACCAUCACCAGUAGUGCACACAAUAACAACCAAGAGAAAAGAAGAACUUGAAGAGAUGGGAAGAGUUAUCAACGAAGAGCAGUCGAUUUUAAUUCAGGAACAUGGACGGCAAGAACGCCUAGCUUCAUCUAUUGCAGACCAGAUGUAUUCCGAAUCCCAGGAGUUGCUGAGGCUAUUUGGAAUUCCUUAUCUUGUCGCUCCAAUGGAGGCUGAGGCGCAGUGCGCUUUCUUGGACGAAGCUGGUCUAACUCAAGGCACCAUAACGGACGAUAGCGAUAUCUGGCUGUUUGGAGGACGCCGAGUCUACAAACAUUUCUUUAAUCAAGGAAAAUUUGUAGAAUUCUUCGAAGCCGAUGACAUAUACAAUGUUUUCAAACUAGGACGCGAAAAACUUGUUCAUUUGACUCUUUUAACCGGAAAUGAUUAUACUGAAGGAAUUCAAGGUGUCGGACCGGUUUGUGCCCUAGAAAUUUUAGCUGAAUUUCCAAAUCCUGGUUCGGAAGCAUUGGAAGAGUUUAGUAAUUGGUUUCACAAAGUCCAGGCCAAGAAAAAUGCACCUUCAGAGAAUAAGAUUCGACAGAAAAUACGAAAUCUACAAGUUAAACCCGAAAAUUGGGUUAAAAGUCAGAGCAAGGCUUGACAAUGUAACCAAUUUGCGAUCUGAUGGAGAAGAUUUCCGUUGGUAUCUUAAGGUGAAAUGUGGAAGUUGCAAUGAAGUGUCAGAUAAAUGGAUUUACAUCACUCAGUCUGAGUCAAAUGAUGUGAAGGGAGGGAGAGGGACAGCAAACUUAGUGUUCAAGUGUAUGUAAGCUUUGUUCCCGAGAAAAUAAUAUGGGUAUUAUCAAAGAUAAUAUAAUAUUUCAAUAUUUCAGUGUCCUAAAUAAUUUAACAUCAAUCAAUCUAGAUAUCAUUUCUGAAAGCCUAACAUCUUAUAAUGAUGAAGACCAGGGUAAAUUUAAGACCAUAGUUAAAUUUGACUGUCAUGGUAUGGAGCCAACUGAUUUUUCACCAAGAAAUGGUUGGCUCGUUGAGGGGUUAGAAAGUGGAACAAAAUUUAGCGAUGUCGAUUUGUCUGACAAAGAGUGGGUUGAAUAUGAU